ensembl:lncRNA
AUGGAAUAUUAUCUUUAAAUGCUCUUCAGAUAAACUAUCCUGCCAGGUAAUUGAUUUUGUGAGAUGAGUAUUUGUGAGCAUGUAGAUGCAUGCUUUUGAGGAGAUCUGACCUUUAGAAUUGCAUUCCUCAAUUUCAAAUAACGAAUAGAGUGCAUACUAUAAUGGUCAGUCAAAUGAUACAUUUAUUCAAAUUUAAAUGUGUAGAAAAAAACCCCAACAUAAAUAAUUUGUAUUUGUUGCAAUUUAAUGCAACAUUUGAUUUGUUUGUCAUAUCCAAUAUAUUGUCUUAAUCAUCAUAAGCAAAACUGAAACAUUUUGAUUUAUUUCAAGAAGAAUAUUUGAAGAAUAUCUGCAUAUUUGUGUGUUUAUGCAUCAGACUCAUUCAACCUUGCUAAUCUACAAUAUGGAUUUUAUUAUCAGACCUCAGUGUUUGUAUACUGUAUAUCUCUCUGUGCUGAGCAAGCAGCAGGUCAGUGAUGGAGUGAUGUUUAUGAAGUCCCUGUUUAGAUUUGUGCUCCUCACCCUCCACAUUCUGCUCUCAGCUGGACUGGGAGGGGAGUCUUCCGUUUUUCACAUUGUCUGUAAAGGUUACAGUCCUCAUCCAUGUGAAAGGACAUAACUAAGGUCUUCAAGCAUCAUCUUUUGUGUUCUGCAGAAGAAAGAAAGUCCUAUACGUUUGGAACGACGUGAGGCGAUGCAGCUUUGGGUCUGUGGCGGGGCUGGCUAGAUUCCCAUGGCACAGAGAGCAGCUGCCUGAGUUUCAGGGCUCUGGAUAAAACUGUUUCUCUUCCAUGCCGAGAGAACGUAAUGACAGUAGGGCCCUUUGGGCCUGCCAGCCAUCUGCAGGUCCAGGUCCUGGUUAAGCAUGACCAGGUGCAGAGAAAAGUCUUCUUGCUACCUCUCAGCUGAUUAGUGGAGCCGGUUGAUUGGUGCAAAUGAGGAAGCUUUUAUCCUGCUUGAGUAUAAUCUGCUUGCAUCUUUAUUGGCUAAAAGCAGGCGUGAUGCUGGCAUGACCCAGGCUGCCCCAGGUACUGUGCUCAGAAAGGGUACUGACACUAAUGUCUUCUGACACACACAUCCCCCAUGCCCUUCCUGUUAAAGGUGCACACACAGAUACGCUGCAGAAAAAAAUCUCCAAAGCUUAUGCAUGCACUUUUUUAAUUACACUACUUUUGUGAAAAAUAUUUUUUAUAAUAUACACCAUAUUAAAAUGCACAUUCUCAGUGAAGGCGAGCGGGAACGUUCAGCACUUUAUAGCUGAAGCCUUUGGCGUAAUGGCUGCUUGUUUCCUUCUCAUCUUCUUUUGUCCUUAAAGGACGCUGCCUUGCCUAGCUGCACAGAUCCUUGGAGCAUCUUUCCUAUUUGUCUGUCCCUCUCUGUGCUGCAACACAGCCUGUUAUUUCAAGGAAAGUGCAACCUUUGCCUUGGGCUUUAAUUAUGUUCAAUUUGCCAAGCCGAGCCUGAAAAAUUCAGAGGGUAAAAAAGCUCUAUGACCUAUUUAUUAAUGCUGCGUUGGGUCUAAAGCUACACUGAGAUCAGCACUGCAUCACUCAACAAUAACACCCAUCUCUGGAGAACAGACUUCAAUCACGUUGUACUCCUCUCUUACAAUGGGAAUUCAUUACUUUAUAAUAGAUCACUGACCAGUUAAUCAUUAUUAAAAGAAAUGUAAAAGUUUGUAGUUAAGUGUGAUUUGUAAUUGGUGUACAUUGUUGGAAUUGUACAUGAAAUUGGCAA